AGCAGCCGCGGUAAUUCCAGCUCCAAUAGCGUAUAUUAAAGUUGUUGCAGUUAAAAGCUCGUAGUUGAAUUUCGGGAUCAAUAUAUCGGUCGUGCCUUGGUACGUACUGGUAUCAUUGGUUUCUCCUUUCUGACGAACCAUGAUGUCAUUAAUUUGGUGUUAUGGGAAGUUAGGACUGUUACUUUGAAAAAUUAGAGUGUUUAAAGCAAGCUAACGCUUGAAUACAUUAGCAUGGAAUAAUGAAAUAGGACGUUCGAUCCUAUUUUGUUGGUUUCUAGGAUUGACGUAAUGAUUAAUAGGGAUAGUUGGGGGCAUUAGUAUUCAAUUGUCAGAGGUGAAAUUCUUGGAUUUAUUGAAGACUAACUACUGCGAAAGCAUUUGCCAAGGAUGUUUUCAUUAAUCAAGAACGAAAGUUAGGGAUCGAAGACGAUC
rnacentral:misc_RNA from 1 species